UGAGUGAUGAAGGUUUUCGGAUCGUAAAACUCUGUUGUUAGGGAAGAACAAGUACCAGAGUAACUGCUGGUACCUUGACGGUACCUAACCAGAAAGCCACGGCUAACUACGUGCCAGCAGCCGCGGUAAUACGUAGGUGGCAAGCGUUGUCCGGAAUUAUUGGGCGUAAAGCGCGCGCAGGCGGUCCUUUAAGUCUGAUGUGAAAGCCCACGGCUCAACCGUGGAGGGUCAUUGGAAACUGGGGGACUUGAGUACAGAAGAGAAGAGUGGAAUUCCACGUGUAGCGGUGAAAUGCGUAGAGAUGUGGAGGAACACCAGUGGCGAAGGCGACUCUUUGGUCUGUAACUGACGCUGAGGCGCGAAAGCGUGGGGAGCAAACAGGAUUAGAUACCCUGGUAGUCCACGCUGUAAACGAUGAGUGCUAAGUGUUGGAGGGUUUCCGCCCUUUAGUGCUGCAGCUAACGCAUUAAGCACUCCGCCUGGGGAGUACGG
rnacentral:rRNA from 1 species